UACGUAGGGUGCAAGCGUUGUCCGGAAUUAUUGGGCGUAAAGAGCUCGUAGGCGGUCUGUCGCGUCUGCUGUGAAAGUCCGGGGCUCAACUCCGGAUCUGCGGUGGGUACGGGCAGACUAGAGUGAUGUAGGGGAGACUGGAAUUCCUGGUGUAGCGGUGAAAUGCGCAGAUAUCAGGAGGAACACCGGUGGCGAAGGCGGGUCUCUGGGCAGUAACUGACGCUGAGGAACGAAAGCGUGGGUAGCGAACAGG
rnacentral:rRNA from 1 species